rnacentral:rRNA from 1 species
CGCGGCCUAUCAGCUUGUUGGUGAGGUAACGGCUCACCAAGGCAACGACGGGUAGCUGGUCUGAGAGGACGAUCAGCCACAUUGGAACUGAGAUACGGUCCAGACUCCUACGGGAGGCAGCAGCAGGGAAUCUUGCGCAAUGGGCGAAAGCCUGACGCAGCGACGCCGCGUGGGGGAUGAAGGCCUUAGGGUUGUAAACCCCUUUCACGAGGGAAGAAACUGACGGUACCUCGAGAAGAAGCCCCGGCCAACUACGUGCCAGCAGCCGCGGUAAUACGUAGGGGGCGAGCGUUGUCCGGAAUUAUUGGGCGUAAAGGGCUCGUAGGCGGCUUGGCAAGUCGGCCGUGAAAACCCAGGGCUCAACCCUGGGACGCCGGUCGAUACUGCCAUGGCUAGGGUCCGGUAGAGGGGAAUGGAAUUCCCGGUGUAGCGGUGAAAUGCGCAGAUAUCGGGAGGAACACCAGUAGCGAAGGCGGUUCCCUGGGCCGGCACCGACGCUGAGGAGCGAAAGCGUGGGGAGCAAACAGGAUUAGAUACCCUGGUAGUCCACGCCGUAAACGUUGGGUACUAGGCGUGGCGUCUUAUCAACGGACGCCGUGCUCGAAGCUAACGCGUUAAGUACCCCGCCUGGGGAGUACGG